GAUGAACGCUGGCGGCGUGCCUAAUACAUGCAAGUCGAGCGAACGGACGAGAAGCUUGCUUCUCUGAUGUUAGCGGCGGACGGGUGAGUAACACGUGGAUAACCUACCUAUAAGACUGGGAUAACUUCGGGAAACCGGAGCUAAUACCGGAUAAUAUUUUGAACCGCAUGGUUCAAAAGUGAAAGACGGUCUUGCUGUCACUUAUAGAUGGAUCCGCGCUGCAUUAGCUAGUUGGUAAGGUAACGGCUUACCAAGGCAACGAUGCAUAGCCGACCUGAGAGGGUGAUCGGCCACACUGGAACUGAGACACGGUCCAGACUCCUACGGGAGGCAGCAGUAGGGAAUCUUCCGCAAUGGGCGAAAGCCUGACGGAGCAACGCCGCGUGAGUGAUGAAGGUCUUCGGAUCGUAAAACUCUGUUAUUAGGGAAGAACAUAUGUGUAAGUAACUGUGCACAUCUUGACGGUACCUAAUCAGAAAGCCACGGCUAACUACGUGCCAGCAGCCGCGGUAAUACGUAGGUGGCAAGCGUUAUCCGGAAUUAUUGGGCGUAAAGCGCGCGUAGGCGGUUUUUUAAGUCUGAUGUGAAAGCCCACGGCUCAACCGUGGAGGGUCAUUGGAAACUGGAAAACUUGAGUGCAGAAGAGGAAAGUGGAAUUCCAUGUGUAGCGGUGAAAUGCGCAGAGAUAUGGAGGAACACCAGUGGCGAAGGCGACUUUCUGGUCUGUAACUGACGCUGAUGUGCGAAAGCGUGGGGAUCAAACAGGAUUAGAUACCCUGGUAGUCCACGCCGUAAACGAUGAGUGCUAAGUGUUAGGGGGUUUCCGCCCCUUAGUGCUGCAGCUAACGCAUUAAGCACUCCGCCUGGGGAGUACGACCGCAAGGUUGAAACUCAAAGGAAUUGACGGGGACCCGCACAAGCGGUGGAGCAUGUGGUUUAAUUCGAAGCAACGCGAAGAACCUUACCAAAUCUUGACAUCCUUUGACAACUCUAGAGAUAGAGCCUUCUCCUUCGGGGGACAAAGUGACAGGUGGUGCAUGGUUGUCGUCAGCUCGUGUCGUGAGAUGUUGGGUUAAGUCCCGCAACGAGCGCAACCCUUAAGCUUAGUUGCCAUCAUUAAGUUGGGCACUCUAAGUUGACUGCCGGUGACAAACCGGAGGAAGGUGGGGAUGACGUCAAAUCAUCAUGCCCCUUAUGAUUUGGGCUACACACGUGCUACAAUGGACAAUACAAAGGGCAGCGAAACCGCGAGGUCAAGCAAAUCCCAUAAAGUUGUUCUCAGUUCGGAUUGUAGUCUGCAACUCGACUACAUGAAGCUGGAAUCGCUAGUAAUCGUAGAUCGGCAUGCUACGGUGAAUACGUUCCCGGGUCU
rnacentral:rRNA from 1 species